UACGAAGGGGGGCUAGCGUUGUUCGGAAUUACUGGGCGUAAAGCGCACGUAGGCGGAUACUUAAGUCAGGGGUGAAAUCCCGAGGCUCAACCUCGGAACUGCCUUUGAUACUGGGUAUCUCGAGUCCGGAAGAGGUGAGUGGAAUUCCGAGUGUAGAGGUGAAAUUCGUAGAUAUUCGGAGGAACACCAGUGGCGAAGGCGGCUCACUGGUCCGGUACUGACGCUGAGGAGCGAAAGCAUGGGGAGCGAACAGG
rnacentral:rRNA from 1 species